AUUGAACGCUGGCGGCAGGCCUAACACAUGCAAGUCGCGCGAGCGGCGGACGGGUGAGUAAUGUCUGGGAAACUGCCUGAUGGAGGGGGAUAACUACUGGAAACGGUAGCUAAUACCGCAUACCAUCAGAUGUGCCCAGAUGGGAUUAGCUAGUCGGGUGGGUAACGGCUCACCUAGGCGACGAUACCUCGCUGGUCUGAGAGGAUGACCAGCCACACUGGAACUGAGACACGGUCCAGACUCCUACGGGAGGCAGCAGUGUGUAAUAUUGCACAAUGGGCGCAAGCCUGAUGAAGCCAUGCCGCGUGUGUGAAGAAGGCCUUCGGGUUGUAAAGCACUUUCAGCGGGGAGGCGUUACCCGCAGAAGAAGCACCGGCUAACUCCGGGCCAGCAGCCGCUGUAAUUC
rnacentral:rRNA from 1 species